CUUGGCUGCUAGCACAGAGAUACACAGCAGAGUCACCCGUCUCCAACGAGUUGAUAUGAAGUUUCAAAUGAGCUUUGUCCAGAGAUUCAGGGGAAGCCACCACAGAAAGAAGGGAGGGCUGUCGCUGGGUGCUUGGGAAAUGCCAGGGUUUGAUCACAGCACAAAAGUAAAAGAGGGAAGAAAUAUGCAAUAACUUUAGCAUGAAGAUAACUUCAUCCACAAAGAGAAACAAAACCUCCAUCAUUGCCUCUGCUUUUGGUGACUUUAACAAGGACAGAGCUUUCUCCAGCCACCAGUCCCUGAGAACUCAGCGGGAAGACCAGGCUCUGUGGUCUGGGAUAAGGGCAGGAAGGAAAAUCUCUUGUGUCUAAUUCUGUCAAAUUUAGUUACCUGGACACAGAGUUCCAUGAAGACUAAAGUUACAUCUGACUCAGCCUCACUCUUCACUGGUGCUCAGAACUGGUUUCUAGGGCCUGCUAGGGGCCAAGGGCCAUGACUCCCCUUCCAUUCUGCUCAACUGGCUCUUAGUUACUGGUAGCUCUGACCUUGAAAA